rnacentral:rRNA from 1 species
UACAGAGGUCCCAAGCGUUGUUCGGAUUCAUUGGGCGUAAAGGGUGCGUAGGUGGCGUCGUAAGUCGGGUGUGAAAUCUCGGGGCUUAACUCCGAAACUGCAUUCGAUACUGGCGUGCUUGAGGACUGGAGAGGAGACUGGAAUUCAUGGUGUAGCAGUGAAAUGCGUAGAGAUCAUGAGGAAGACCAGUGGCGAAGGCGGGUCUCUGGACAGUUCCUGACACUGAGACACGAAGGCCAGGGGAGCAAACGGG